GCCCUAGUAACGGCGAGCGAAGCGGCAACAGCUCAAAUUUGAAAUCUGGCUACUUUGUAGUCCGAGUUGUAAUUUGUAGAGGAUGCUUUUGGUGAGGUGCCUUCCGAGUUCCCUGGAACGGGACGCCAGAGAGGGUGAGAGCCCCGUACGGUUGGAUACCAAACCUUUGUAUAGCUCCUUCAACGAGUCGAGUAGUUUGGGAAUGCUGCUCUAAAUGGGAGGUAUAUCUCUUCUAAAGCUAAAUAUAGGCUAGAGACCGAUAGCGCACAAGUAGAGUGAUCGAAAGAUGAAAAGCACUUUGAAAAGAGAGUUAAACAGCACGUGAAAUUGUUGAAAGGGAAGCGCCUAUGACCAGACUUGUUUCUUUCAGUUUUGUUAGUUCUCGGACUGAUUUACUCUGUUAGUACAGGCCAGCAUCAGUUUGUUGUCGGGGAGAAAGGCUUAGGGAAUGUGGCUCCUUCGGGAGUGUUAUAGCCCUUUGCAUAAUACCCUUCGGCAGACUGAGGACCGCGCUUCGGCAAGGAUGCUGGCGUAAUGGUCAUCAGCGACCCGUCUUGAAACACGGACCAAGGAGUCAACCUUAUGUGCGAGUGUUUGGGUGUAAAACCCCAGCGCGUAAUGAACGUGAACGUAGGUGAGAGCUUCGGCGCAUCAUCGACCGAUUCUGAUGUUCUCGGAUGGAUUUGAGUAAGAGCACACAGGGUUGGACCCGAAAGAAGGUGAACUAUGCUUGUAUAGGGUGAAGCCAGAGGAAACUCUGGUGGAGGCUCGCAGCGGUUCUGACGUGCAAAUCGAUCGUCAAAUAUGAGCAUGGGGGCGAAAGACUAA
rnacentral:rRNA from 1 species